GUCAGAAGGAAAUAGCCAAGAUUAGCAAGGCAGUACUUCUGCUUGCACUCACGCCAAAAUAGAAAAAGAAUACCAGACCAAAUUGCUCGUUCAGUGGAAAAAAAAAAGGAAGCUUAAGGGUUGAUCGGAAAAUUCUUUUAGGUUCAAGGUUUGAUCCAAGAAAGUGAUACGAAUCAUUCGGGGUGACAAAUUCGGUAUUUCGACAAGAGUACUAGAACGCAGGUGACGGUGAGAAUCUCGUUGGCUAGAGAAUUCAAAUAGCAUAUUCCCGGUUUGAUCCAAGAAAGUGAUACAAACCAUUCGGGGUGAUAGAUUCAGUAUUUCGACAAGAGUACUGUUUGAUCCAAGAAAGUGAUACGAAUCAUUCGGGGUGACAAAUUCGGUAUUUCGACAAGAGUACUAGAAUGCAGGUGACGGUGAGAAUCUCAUUGGCUAGAGAAUUCGAAUAGCAUAUUUCCGGUGAGCCCCACAAUUGUUCACGUGGGCUAUAGUUUAUUUAUUCAUUAUGUUUCUUUUUCUUGAAAACUCUUAGUUUGCUCCAUAGUCAUGUCUUUAGAGUUUUGAGUCUUUCGUUAUUUUGAAUUUGUGGAAUAUUGGAUUUUCUCUCAUCUUUGGAGAUGAUUUUCGUAUUAUUAGUUGGUGGUAUUGGUAAAUUGUUGAUGA